rnacentral:rRNA from 1 species
CGUAGAUCAGCAUGCUACGGUGAAUACGUUCCCGGGUCUUGUACACACCGCCCGUCACACCACGAGAGUUUGUAACACCCGAAGCCGGUGGAGUAACCUUUUAGGAGCUAGCCGUCGAAGGUGGGACAAAUGAUUGGGGUGAAGUCGUAACAAGGUAGCCGUAUCGGAAGGUGCGGCUGGAUCACCUCCUUUCUAAGGA